GACGGAGGAUGUAAGCGUUAUCCGGAAUGAUUGGGCGUAAAGCGUCCGCAGGUGGCAGUUCAAGUCUGCUGUCAAAGACCGGGGCUUAACUUCGGAAAGGCAGUGGAAACUGAACAGCUAGAGUAUGGUAGGGGCAGAGGGAAUUCCUGGUGUAGCGGUGAAAUGCGUAGAGAUCAGGAAGAACAUCGGUGGCGAAGGCGCUCUGCUGGACCAUAACUGACGCUGAGGAGCGAAAGCAUGGGGAGCGAACAGG
rnacentral:rRNA from 1 species